CACGUAGGUGGUUUGGUCAGUCAGAUGUGAAAGCCCCGGGCUCAACCUGGGAACUGCACCUGAUACUGCCAGACUAGAGUACGGUAGAGGGUAGUGGAAUUUCCGGUGUAGCGGUGAAAUGCGUAGAGAUCGGAAGGAACACCAGUGGCGAAGGCGACUGCCUGGACCGAUACUGACACUGAGGUGCGAAAGCGUGGGUAGCAAACA
rnacentral:rRNA from 1 species